rnacentral:rRNA from 1 species
CCCUUAGAUGUUCUGGGCCGCACGCGCGCUACACUGAUGCAUUCAACGAGUCUAAAACCUGCUCUGAUAGGGGUGGGUAAUCUUUUGAAUGUGCAUCGUGAUUGGGAUAGAUGAUUGCAAUUUUUCAUCUUCAACGAGGAAUGCCUAGUAAACGCAAGUCAUCAGCUUGCAUUGAUUACGUCCCUGCCCUUUGUACACACCGCCCGUCGCUCCUACCGAUUGAAUGAUCCGAUGAAUAUCAUGGAUUGCGGAUGCAAGCAGGUUCGCCUGUCUUCAUCUUCGAGAAGUGAAGUAAAUCUUAUCAUUUAGAGGAAGGAGAAGUCGUAACA